rnacentral:misc_RNA from 1 species
GUGAAUCAUCAAAUCUUUGAACGCAAAUUGCACUCUCUUCGGAGAGUAUGCCUGUUUGAGGGUCAGCCUAAAAAAAAUCGACAUAGUCGCUGUUUCGCGGUGACAUUCGUCGGAAAUUGGGUAAUCUUAAACUUUUGGGUUUUAAGCGGCUUAAAAUUUUCUUUACGAUUCUACGAACGUUUCUAAGAUUUACUUAUACGUUUAAGGUAUCGAUUGUUAUUAGACGUGGCAGUUGAAGCGGAGCACGUACAUAAAUAUUUCGUUAACUGACC